rnacentral:lncRNA from 1 species
CGUACGAGCUGCAUGAAUAUAUUUGUCAUGAAUAUCAUCGAACCAGAGUUACGUAUCAAAGAUAGUGUCGUAUCAAUUAUAUUUUUAUCACAGAUAUCAUCGUACCAACUAUGAAUAUAUUAUAGAUAUCGUCGUACCAGCUAUAAAUUUAUCACAGUUAUCAUUGUACCAGCUAAAAAUAUCUCAUAGAUAUCGUCAUACAAGCUAUAGAUAUUAUAUAUCGAAGACAGGGUCGUAUCCAAUAUAUUUAUAUCACAGAAUUCGUCAAACCGUCUAUUAGUAUAUUAUGAAUAUCGUCAUGCCAUCUAUAAAUUUAUAGC